rnacentral:rRNA from 1 species
UCCAGAGGUGGCAAGCGUUGUUCGGAAUUACUGGGCGUAAAGGGCGCGUAGGCGGUCUUCUAAGUCUUGUGUGAAAUCCCUCGGCUCAACCGGGGAACUGCGUCUGAUACUGGGUGGCUUGAAUCCGGGAGAGGGAUGCGGAAUUCCAGGUGUAGCGGUGAAAUGCGUAGAUAUCUGGAGGAACACCGGUGGCGAAGGCGGCAUCCUGGACCGGCAUUGACGCUGAGGCGCGAAAGCCAGGGGAGCAAACGGG